GACCAGACUCCUACGGGAGGCAGUAGUGAGGAAUAUUGGUCAAUGGGCGGGAGCCUGAACCAGCCAAGUCGCGUGAGGGAAGACGGUCCUAUGGAUUGUAAACCUCUUUAGGCGGGGAGCAAUGCCGGGCACGCGUGCCCGGAGGGAGAGUACCCGCAGAAUAAGCAUCGGCUAACUCCGUGCCAGCAGCCGCGGUAAUACGGAGGAUGCAAGCGUUGUCCGGAAUCAUUGGGCGUAAAGAGUUCGUAGGUGGCACGUUAAGUCUGGGGUUAAAUGCAGAGGCUCAACCUCUGUUCGGCACUGGAUACUGGCGAGCUUGAAUGCGGUAGAGGUAAAGGGAAUUCCCGGUGUAGCGGUGAAAUGCGUAGAUAUCAGGAGGAACAUCGGUGGCGUAAGCGCUUUACUGGGCCGUAAUUGACACUGAGGAACGAAAGCCAGGGUAGCAAAUGGGAUUAGAUACCCGCGUA
rnacentral:rRNA from 1 species